rnacentral:rRNA from 1 species
UACGUAGGGGGCUAGCGUUGUCCGGAUUUAUUGGGCGUAAAGAGCUCGUAGGCGGUGUGUCGCGUCGGCCGUGAAAACCUGCAGCUUAACUGUGGGCUUGCGGUCGAUACGGGCAUCACUGGAGUUCGGCAGGGGAGACUGGAAUUCCUGGUGUAGCGGUGAAAUGCGCAGAUAUCAGGAGGAACACCGGUGGCGAAGGCGGUCUGCUGGGCCGUUGCUGACGCUGAGGCGCGACAGCGUGGGGAGCAAACAGG